rnacentral:rRNA from 1 species
CAGUAGCCGCGGUAAUACGAAGGGUGCAAGCGUUAAUCGGAAUUACUGGGCGUAAAGGGCGCGUAGGCGGUUUGACAAGUCUGAUGUGAAAUCUCUGGGCUCAACCCAGAGUCUGCAUCGGAAACUGUCGAGCUUGAGUAUGGGAGAGGUGAGUGGAAUUUCCGGUGUAGCGGUGAAAUGCGUAGAUAUCGGAAGGAACACCUGUGGCGAAAGCGGCUCACUGGACCAUUACUGACGCUGAGGCGCGAAAGCUAGGGGAGCAAACAGGAUUAGAUACCCCAGUAGUCCCUGUCUCUUAUAA